UGCAAAAUCUCAGCUCAGCAUAUC
rnacentral:siRNA from 1 species